AACACUGGUGUUUGUGUACUAAAACGAACAGAGCUGGCAGGCAGGCAGGCUCUUAUUGUUUGUGUGUCUUGGUGUGUGUGAUGGAUUAGUGUGGCUGGGCAUGUGCCAACAGUGCAACCACAGGGGGUUGAUUUCUGUCUGGGCUCAAGCAUUGGUUACGUGAGGUGCAAUUAGACCUACAGAUCCCACACCAGAGAGAUCCAGAUACAGAAGGUUCUCCAGAGAGUUCAUCAGAUUCAUCACUCGCCACUUAAAGAUGGGUCACCUUUCUACAUUUUUCACUAAAAGAUCUACUGAUCCAGCACACCUGAAGCCAGUAGCGAUGACAACGCUGACACAGAAAUGCAACUUUGGGAACUAUUUCCAGAGACCCUGCAAUGUCACAUCUACACAUUGGCUGUAUAGGCUGUAGCUGGAUUUGUCAUGCGUUCAAAUGCAAUAAAUUAUAUUCGUUUCAUGAACACACUUUAGAAAACGUCUAAGACAGCUAUUCCCACAGUUUGCUGAGUUGAACUCGAACCUUCUGCUGAGCAGUGCGGGUAAUGUGGUGAAGCUACUCAUGACAUGAUUUUAUGUUAAAAUAAGUCUGCAUCAUCGAGCUGAUGGGAGCUGCUGCAACAGAGUAAAACUAGCACCACUAUCUGAGAUGCCAUUUACCCAGGUUAACGUCUGGUGUGAUCACCGGAGGGAAAAGUUCCACUUGUUUCACUGAAAUAUUUGAAUAAAUCAUCUGAAGAAAGAGCUUUAUCAUGUUCAUAAAACAAAAAAGUAAAAAUGUAAAUAAGUCACAUGUCGCAAGUCCCACAACUCCAUUAAAGUGCAAUAAUAAAUGAACCCUUUAAAGUA